rnacentral:rRNA from 1 species
GACGAACGCUGGCGGCGUGCUUAACACAUGCAAGUCGAACGGUGAAGCGCCUUCCUUUUUGGUGGGUGUGGAUGAGUGGCGAACGGGUGAGUAACACGUGAGUAACCUGCCCCCUUCUUCUGGAUAACCGCAUGAAAGUGUGGCUAAUACGGGAUAUUCUGGGUCUGUCGCAUGAUGGGUCUGGGAAAGAUAUUGUUUCGGUGGGGGAUGGGCUCGCGGCCUAUCAGCUUGUUGGUGGGGUGAUGGCCUACCAAGGCGGUGACGGGUAGCCGGCCUGAGAGGGUGGACGGUCACACUGGGACUGAGACACGGCCCAGACUCCUACGGGAGGCAGCAGUGGGGAAUAGUGCACAAUGGGCGCAAGGCUGAUGCAGCGACGCCGCGUGAGGGAUGGAGGCCGUCGGGUUGUGAACCUCUUUCGCCAGUGAAGCAGGCCUGCCUCGUUUGUGGGUGGGUUGACGGUAGCUGGAGAAGAAGCGCCGGCUAACUACGUG